CAAGGUCAUAGACUAAACAUCUCGAAUCAAAAGACACUAGUUCCUUAAUAUGUAUGGUUCAUGAGUAAUAUCACUUUACGCAUAAUUCUAAAUAUAAGAGGGGCGAAAACUCCCAUUUAUUGUCUACGCACCCUUGCAACCAAAAUUUAUAAGUUACGACAUGUCGCAACUAACAAUUUAGUAAAAAUAAUUUGUCGAUAUCUUAUAAGGUUAAUGAAAAUAAGUGAAAAUAAGCCAAAAUCAAAAUUUAGAAUUUGACCUUGACCUUUGACCUUGACCUAAUUUUCAUUUUUUUGGACCAAGGAUCUUAAAUCAAAAGAUCCUAGGUCUCUAUCACUUAUGGUUUACCAGUUAGAAAUGCAUAUCACUUAUAUCAUAUAUAAAAGGGGGAUAACUCUCAUAUGGA
rnacentral:lncRNA from 1 species